GAGACAGCAGCCGCCGCGGUAAUACGAAGGGGGCUAGCGUUGUUCGGAAUUACUGGGCGUAAAGGGCGCGUAGGUGGCCAUUCAAGUUAGAUGUGAAAGCCCUGGGCUCAACCUAGGAAUUGCAUUUGAUACUGUUUGGCUUGAGUUCGGGAGAGGUGAGUGGAAUUCCCAGUGUAGAGGUGAAAUUCGUAGAUAUUGGGAAGAACACCAGUGGCGAAGGCGGCUCACUGGACCGACACUGACGCUGAGGCGCGAAAGCGUGGGGAGCAAACAGGAUUAGAGACCCGUGUAGUCCCUGUCUCUUAUAC
rnacentral:rRNA from 1 species